GACGAACCGUGCGAACGUUGUUCGGAAUCACUGGGCUUAAAGGGCGCGUAGGCGGGCGGACAAGUCAGGGGUGAAAUCCUCCAGCUCAACUGGAGAACAGCUUUUGAUACUGUCUGUCUCGAGCGAGGUAGGGGCAGGUGGAACUUCCGGUGGAGCGGUGAAAUGUGUUGAUAUCGGAAGGAACUCCGGUGGCGAAAGCGACCUGCUGGACCUCUUCUGACGCUGAGGCGCGAAAGCCAGGGGAGCAAACGGG
rnacentral:rRNA from 1 species